rnacentral:rRNA from 1 species
AUUGAACGCUGGCGGCAGGCCUAACACAUGCAAGUCGAGCGGAUGAAGGGAGCUUGCUCCUGGAUUCAGCUGCGGACGGGUGAGUAAUGCCUAGGAAUCUGCCUGGUAGUGGGGGAUAACGUCCGGAAACGGGCGCUAAUACCGCAUACGUCCUGAGGGAGAAAGUGGGGGAUCUUCGGACCUCACGCUAUCAGAUGAGCCUAGGUCGGAUUAGCUAGUUGGUGGGGUAAAGGCCUACCAAGGCGACGAUCCGUAACUGGUCUGAGAGGAUGAUCAGUCACACUGGAACUGAGACACGGUCCAGACUCCUACGGGAGGCAGCAGUGGGGAAUAUUGGACAAUGGGCGAAAGCCUGAUCGGGCCAUGCCGCGUGUGUGAAGAAGGUCUUCGGAUUGUAAAGCACUUUAAGUUGGGAGGAAGAGCAGUAAGUUAAUACCUUGCUGUUUUGACGUUACCAAAAGAAUAAGCACCGGCUAACUUCGUG